UACGUAGGGGGCAAGCGUUGUCCGGAAUUACUGGGCGUAAAGAGCUCGUAGGUGGUUUGUCGCGUUGUUCGUGAAAACCGGGGGCUUAACCCUCGGCGUGCGGGCGAUACGGGCAGACUGGAGUACUGCAGGGGAGACUGGAAUUCCUGGUGUAGCGGUGGAAUGCGCAGAUAUCGGGAAGAACACCUAUGGCGAAGGCAGCUCUCUGGGACGGUACUGACGCUGAGACGCGAAAGCGUGGGGAGCGAACAGG
rnacentral:rRNA from 1 species